GGAAGGGUAGAGGCCCAGUUUCCUGUGAGCCCGCCCCACCCCUGAGGUCUGAUGCCAAGCUGAUGGCAUCACAGGGUCAGGUAGUCCCAAGAGGUCACCUGGCUGGCCUCCUAUAUCUGGUGACCAAUCACCUGUCCCACAACCUUCUUGAGGGGUCUUCCUCCCUCUGCCCCAGUGCAUUGCUGCUGUGGAGGCAGCUGCAGGGAGGCAGGACCCAAGGCAGCUGGCCAGACAAGAAUAUAUUAAAGGAAUCUGUGAACCUGAACUAGAAGAAAGAGAAUGUUACCCCAAGGACAUGCACUGCAUUUUUGUUGGGGCAGAGAGCCUGUUUCUGAAAAGCUUGAUUCAGGAUACUUGUGCUGACCUCUGCAUUCUGGACAUUGGCCUUCUUGGCAUCAGAGGAAGUGCUGAGGCCGUGGUCAUGGCUAGGAGUCACAUUCAACAAUUUGUAAAGCUCUUUGAAAAUAAAGAGAACCUACCCAGCAGUCAGAAAGAAUCAGAGGUGAAAAGGGAAUUCAAACAAUUUGUUGAAGCCCAUGCAGACAAUUACACAAUGGAUUUGUUGAUUUUGCCCACUUCCUUGAAAAAAGAACUUUUGACACUCACACAAGGUGAGGAGAAUCUCUUUGAAACAGGAGAUGAUGAUGUUAUUGAAAUGAGAGAUUCUCAACAAACAGAGUUUACACAGAAUGCUGCCACAGGGCUGAAUAUUUCUAGAGAUGAAACUGUUUUGCAGGAAGAGGCAAGAAAUAAAGCUGGGACUCCUGUUUCUGAGCUUACAAAACAAAUGGACACAGUCCUUUCUAGCUCACCAGAUGUGCUUUUUGAUCCAAUAAAUGGUCUAACCCCAGAUGAAGAGGCACUUUCCAAUGAGAGAAUUUGUCAGAAAAGGAGAUUUUCUGAUUCUGAAGAAAGGCAUACGAAGAAGCAGUUUUCUUUGGAAAAUGUUCAGGAGGGGGAGAUUUUACACGAUGCUAAGACAUUGGCUGGAAAUGUAAUAGCUGACCUAUCUGAUUCUUCUACUGAUUCUGAAAAUUUAAGUCCGGAUAUAAAAGAAACUACUGAGGAAAUGGAAUACAACAUCCUCGUAAACUUUUUUAAAACCAUGGGCUACUCCCAAGAAAUUGUUGAAAAGGUCAUUAAGGUGUAUGGACCAUCUACUGAACCAUUAUUGCUCUUAGAGGAAAUUGAAAAGGAAAAUAAAAGAUUCCAAGAAGACAGAGAAUUUUCAGCUGGUACAGUGUAUCCAGAGACCAACAAAACCAAAAAUAAAGGUGUUUAUAGCAGCACAAAUGAGCUUACAACUGAUUCCACUCCAAAGAAAACACAGGCUCACACACAGCAAAAUAUGGUAGAAAAAUUUUCUCAGUUACCAUUCAAAGUGGAAGCUAAACCAUGUACCUCAAACUGCAGAAUUAAUACUUUCAGAACAGUGCCAAUAGAACAGAAACAUGAAGUCUGGGGUUCAAACCAGAACUACGUUUGUAACACAGACCCUGAAACUGAUGGCCUUUCACCUUCUGUUGCCUCUCCAAGUCCCAAAGAAGUCAAUUUUGUUUCAAGGGGAGCUUCAAGUCACCAGCCCAGAGUUGCACUUUUUCCUGAAAAUGGUUUACACCAGCAGCCAGAACCCUUGCUUCCAAAUAAUAUGAAAUCUGCCUGUGAAAAACGUUUAGGAUGUUGUAGUUCUCCUCAUUCUAAGCCAAAUUGCUCAACCCUUUCUCCACCAAUGCCACUGCCCCAGCUGUUACCUUCGGUUACUGAUGCAAGGUCGGCAGGACCUUCUGAUCAUAUUGAUUCGUCAGUUACUGGGGUUCAAAGGUUUCGAGAUACUCUAAAAGUACCCUACAAGCUGGAAUUAAAAAAUGAACCAGGGAGAACAGAUUUGAAACACAUUGUUAUAGAUGGGAGCAAUGUUGCAAUUACCCAUGGUCUGAAAAAGUUCUUUUCUUGUCGUGGAAUUGCAAUUGCAGUUGAAUAUUUUUGGAAGCUUGGCAACAGAAACAUCACUGUAUUUGUCCCUCAGUGGAGAACAAGGCGUGAUCCUAAUGUCACAGAACAGCACUUCUUAACCCAGCUCCAGGAGCUCGGAAUAUUAUCUUUAACUCCUGCCCGGAUGGUCUUUGGAGAAAGAAUUGCUUCUCAUGAUGACAGGUUUCUCCUACACUUAGCGGACAAAACUGGUGGCAUAAUUGUGACAAAUGAUAAUUUCAGAGAAUUUGUGAAUGAGUCAGUCUCUUGGAGAGAAAUUAUUACAAAAAGGCUGCUGCAGUACACGUUCGUGGGGGACAUAUUUAUGGUUCCUGAUGAUCCUCUGGGAAGAAGUGGACCUCGAUUAGAGGAGUUUCUUCAGAAGGAAGUCUGUCUUAGGUAUUUCCUUUUUCAGAUUGUCUUGUAUUAAAACGUCUAUUUCAAUUCUU
rnacentral:sRNA from 1 species